AUGACUGAAGGCAAAGAAAUCUCAUAUUCAAUUGCUAUGGCAGUGAACAUUCCGCCACCAAAUUCUAUGGUUCUCACAGGGGACUGGAAUACUAAUUGGGACAACUUCAGGGAUGAAUUCGAGGACUAUGCGCUGGCGACCAGUCUACAUGAGAAAGCCAACGAGGUACAAGCUGCAACUCUGAGGAGUUUAAUGGGCAGCGAAUGCAGGCAUAUCUACCGGCACAAUCUCACCCUCACAGCACGACAACAGUGUGAUGCAAAGGCUAUAUUGCAUGCAUUGGAGAAUUACUUCAAACCUGCCAGAAACGUAAUUUAUGAGCGGUUCGUUUUCGGAAGCUGUAAACAGGAAGAGGGUGAGUCAGUACACAACUUUGUAACCCGUUUGAGAGAGAAAUCCGCCACUUGUGAAUACGGGGGAUUGAAAGAUGAAUUGAUUCGUGACAAAAUAGUGCUGGGAAUUGAAAAUGAGGAUACACGCCGGCGUCUACUGAGAGAGAGAGACUUAACAUUAGUAACUGCCAUCGAAAUGUGCCGCACUGCUGAAGUCACUGACAUGAGAAUGAGAGCAAUGGAAAUCGAAACCCCACGCUCCGACGUUGAUACUGUUCACGCUGUUGCUAGGCAGACAUUCAGACUAAACCAAUCGAGGCAGAGCAAUUCACCACGAACGGUGAACAAAGAGAGCCCCGUAGCAUGUAAAUACUGUGGGAAUACACACACACGUGGCAAAGAGCACUGCCCUGCCUACGGAAAACCAUGCAGAGCUUGUGGAACUAAUAAUCAUUUUGCAAAAGUGUGUCUCAAAAGCAAAAGGAGGGUGAGUGAGGGCAAGAUUCACUGUGUUGAUGAUGUCACUCAAUGUUCAGAGCUGAAAAGUGAAAGUGACAUUUACAUGCAUGAAUCCAUUGGGGCUGUACACUCAAGAGGGAAAAAAUGGUUUGUGACACUACGUUUACACAACAAGCAACAACAAUGUCAACUGGAUUCUGGUGCUACAUGCAACGUAAUGAGCUACAAAGACAAAAUCAAUCUGGCACCUGACACACAUCUAUUGCCCAGCGAUACUAGACUAAAGCUGUACUCAGGAGAGCUAAUGAGCUCUAUUCGGGGGGACGUAAACACAAGCUGGAGUUUGAGAUUGUAA
rnacentral:lncRNA from 13 species